AGCGAACGCUGGCGGCAGGCCUAACACAUGCAAGUCGAACGAAGUCUUCGGACUUAGUGGCGGACGGGUGAGUAACACGUGGGAACGUGCCUUUAGGUUCGGAAUAACUCAGGGAAACUUGUGCUAAUACCGAAUGUGCCCUUCGGGGGAAAGAUUUAUCGCCUUUAGAGCGGCCCGCGUCUGAUUGGCUAGUUGGUGAGGUAAAGGCUCACCAAGGCGACGAUCAGUAGCUGGUCUGGGAGGAUGAUCAGCAACAUUGGGACUGAGACACGGCCCAACCUCCUCCGGGAGGCAGCAGUGGGGAAUCUUGCGCAAUGGGCGAAAGCCUGACGCAGCCAUGCCGCGUGAAUGAUGAAGGUCUUAGGAUUGUAAAAUUCUUUCACCGGGGACGAUAAUGACGGUACCCGGAGAAGAAGCCCCGGCUAACUUCGUGCCAGCAGCCGCCGUAAUAC
rnacentral:rRNA from 1 species